rnacentral:rRNA from 1 species
AUUGAACGCUGGCGGCAUGCCUUACACAUGCAAGUCGAACGGUAACAGGCCGCAAGGUGCUGACGAGUGGCGAACGGGUGAGUAAUGCAUCGGAACGUGCCCAGUCGUGGGGGAUAACUGCUCGAAAGAGCAGCUAAUACCGCAUACGACCUGAGGGUGAAAGCGGGGGACCGAAAGGCCUCGCGCGAUUGGAGCGGCCGAUGUCAGAUUAGGUAGUUGGUGGGGUAAAGGCCUACCAAGCCGACGAUCUGUAGGUGGUCUGAGAGGACGACCCGCCACACUGGGGCUGGGACACGGCCCAGACUCCUACGGGAGGCAGAAGUGGGGAAUUUUGGACAAUGGACGCAAGUCUGAUCCAGCCAUUCCGCGUGCAGGAUGAAGGCCCUCGGGUUGUAAACUGCUUUUGUACGGAACGAAAAGAUCUCUCUUAAUACGGGGGGCUCAUGACGGUACCGUAAGAAUAAGCACCGGCUAACUACGUGCCAGCAGCCGCAGUAACAC